AUUGAACGCUGGCGGCAGGCCUAACACCUGCAAGUCGAACGAGUGGCGGACGGGUGAGUAAUGUCUGGGAAACUGCCUGAUGGAGGGGGAUAACUACUGGAAACGGUAGCUAAUACCGCAUACCAUCGGAUGUGCCCAGAUGGGAGUAGCUAGUAGGGGGGGUAAAGGCUCACCUAGGCGACGAUCCCUAGCUGGUCUGAGCGGAUGACCAGCCACACUGGAACUGAGACACGUUCCGGACUCCUCCGGUAGGCAGCAGUGGGGAAUAUUGCACAAUGGGGGAAAGCCUGAUGCAGCCAUGCCGCGUGUAUGAAGAAGGCCUUCGGGUUGUACAGUACUUUCAGCGGGGAGGCGUUACCCGCAGAAGAAGCACCGGCUAACUCCGUGCCAGCAGCCGCGGUAAUAC
rnacentral:rRNA from 1 species